rnacentral:sRNA from 12 species
UUUGAGCCGAGGGGCCAUGCGGAAACGCCAGGUUGGCGCUAACCAGAAACGGUAGCAAGGAGCCCGCAUCACAUGAAGGACUGACUGAAGUGUGGUGAAAUACUGAGCCCUCGCAAAGGGCAGUCAGGUAGUAGCAUG